UGGGGAAUCUUGGACAAUGGGCGCAAGCCUGAUCCAGCCAUGCCGCGUGGAUGAUGAAGGCCUUAGGGUUGUAAAAUCCUUUCGUUGGGGACGAUAAUGACGGUACCCAAAGAAGAAGCUCCGGCUAACUUCGUGCCAGCAGCCGCGGUAAUACGAAGGGGGCUAGCGUUGUUCGGAUUUACUGGGCGUAAAGCGCGUGUAGGCGGAUUUGUAAGUUGGGGGUGAAAUCCCGAGGCUCAACCUCGGAACUGCCUCCAAAACUACAAGUCUGGACCUAAGUAGAGGCAAGUGGAAUUGCGAGUGUAGAGGUGAAAUUCGUAGAUAUUCGCAGGAACACCAGUGGCGAAGGCGACUUGCUGGACUUAUGGUGACGCUGAGACGCGAAAGCGUGGGGAGCAAACAGGAUUAGAUACCCGGGUAGUCCCUGAGCGGGCUGGCAAGGCGCAU
rnacentral:rRNA from 1 species